UACAGCCCCCUGGAAAUACUGUCACAGCUAGAGUUUGAAAGUGAUGCUGAUGAGGAUGCCCAGCCUUUUUCUGCCAGUAACUCAGUCAAAACUGGUGGUGAGACUUUAUUGUCUGUUUUCGGUGGAAGAUGCUGCUCUUUCGAUUGCCUGGUGAUAGUGACACGAGCAGAUGCAGCUGCAGCCCGCUCAGCCUUCAAGGAGAAAUCUUUGUAUGAUCAGCGGAUAUAGCUUCUGAAGUACUUCAGGACUCAUUCUUCUCAAGCUGAAGAUGCGAGCUUUCAGUUCUCAUUCAGCAUUGGUCUAGAGCCGGUGUGUGCUACAGCCUGGUACCAGGUGAUUGGAAUUGUGAGAUCAAGAUUCUACUACUAGCAAAAACGGUUCAUAGCAGUGAGAGACAGAAAUACUACAAGCACAUUCAAAAAGCGAAGGCAAGCCCAGACAAAUAUUUGAGCAUCAUCAUCGAUGGGAUAUGGAUCAACACUGCACAGCAAUACCGCAACUACACCCAGCACCCAAAGCCCUAAGCCACACGGACCAACUCAACACACACAUCACUGGUGCAAUUGUAGAUGGAAGUGGUCAACACACUCAUAUCGACAUCAAAGAAUACCUUCAUGACAGCAACCU